rnacentral:lncRNA from 1 species
UAGUAAAUAAAAAAAAUGUGAAGUUGAGAGCUCUGUUAGUUAAUUCGCGAAUAAUUCACGAAUUAUUCGUGAUUUUUGAAGAAACAAAUUAAACUCCCGUUCCCGUAUUUUUCUAAAAAAAUCGAAAAAAAACGGAUGUUUUUCGUCAAAAAUAAUUAUUCGCGAAUCAUUCACGAUUCGCGAAUCAUUCGCCCAAAAAAUCGGCGGUCGCGCUCGCGGUCGCGGACUCGCGUCGUCGCCCUCUCGUCGCCGAACUCCUCCGCUGCCCUAGCCGGCGACGACGCAUCUCGUCGCCGAACUCCUCCGCCACCCUGACCAGCGUCGGGAGCAAGAGCGCC